UGUGAUUGUAGGAAUGGAGCACUUUUAUUCUUGAAAUAUCUGAGACCUGUUGCAAAGCCCAUUAAAACUGAUGCAGCUUUCUUUUAUGGAUUUCACUAGGUUUGGCUCAAGUCCUCAGCAGCAUUGCUCUUGCUUAAUGUGAAACUUGGAAGCAACCCUGGGUAAACAAGCCAGGCUAAUAUUCUACAGGCUGAUCAUAACUACUUGAAGGAGAAGAUGUGGGGGUUCCAGGCCCUUUUGGGAAGUGCAGUGCUGCAAAGGAUUUAGUACAUCACUGAAGUCAAACAUGGCUACGAAUCAGAUUCACUGCAUGUGACAGAAGAUGAGUAAGCUAAGCUCUGUUUCGGUGCUCUUGGAUGAGGUGACAUCACUUAUAUACUAUCUGAACCAUCUGAAACGUCUCUAAUAAUGAUAAAAGCAUUUUAGGCUGGAAAAGAUUCUGAAGAUCAUUGGGUCCAGUCAUCCACCUAACUACCAAGUCCAGCACUUAACAGAAGGUAAAUUUCUAUGUCCAUUUAGAUACAGACUGAUUUGCAUGUAAUUGCCACUGAUGCGGUGGGAUGCACUGGGUUAAGACCAGGUUAGAAACUUGACAAAAUGUGUGGCAAAUUGUUUGGACUAUAGCAAAAGGUGUAAGCUGUUGGGAGCUUUGCCCAUGUUUCAUCUGCAACAGGCUGAGGUUCUCCAUCCUCUAACCUGUACUACAAGUUAUCUGUCCCAAUAAAUGAACAUUUUGAUUUCCUGAAAAAAAAAAGCCAGUAACAAUGAAUCCCGUUUCAGCUGAAGAAUUGAGUAAUUUCCCCAAAAUCUUGAAAGCAGAAACUUAUCAACACAACGCCCUGCCAUGUCCACAAUUUGAAAGGCUCCUGCCUGAUCUGGCAAAGCUGAUGAUUUCAGAGGAGCUCUAUUGCUUGGAGUAGCUCCAUUUUGAAGCAUCCACUUUGAGGUACAGUAAGCCUCAUCCUAUGAGCACACAGUGAUCAUGGAUCAAGCUGAAGUCACAGCGAGGAGAAAAUGGCCAUCGGUUUCAAAAACUCAGGUGUGAACAACUCGAACAGAUGUUUCUAAAACAUCAUUCUGAAAAUCUGGAACUCUUUGCACAGGAGAACUGAAUGGUCACCACGCAGGACAUGAAGUUAUUCCCACUCAAUCCAGCCAGAAUCUCACAGUGAUGCAAAUUUAUUUGUUAAGGCUGGGUGCUCAUCCAAGUUGGGUCAGCAUCAGUUUGCACAAUAUGGGGAUCUACUACUUGACCAUUAGGCAUUGCCUCUUUCCACUCUGACACAGUUUCUUCCUGGGAGAACAAGGGGAUUUACUAUCUCGGGAUUUCUGAGGACUGGAGCUGGCUGAGCAUUCCUCAUGGCCCUGAGUUAUAUGGGAAUUUAGCAAGCCUCUCUUCUCAGGCAGCAGAUCCCUCAUCUCAAGAAAUCUUUUGAUUAAACUGUCAAGCUCUGCGACGGGCAGCUGAAGGGAGCAACAGAUUUUGAAGAAAUAUUUUUGAUAAUUCCCAGCAUGGACAGAACGAUGACAUACAGCGGGUCUAGCAAACUUGCCUGGCAGGCAGUUGUGGCUUUGUAUGUAAAUAUAAACAUAUAUUUACAUAUUUCCUAACAUCUGUUUUGAAUUUGUGUUCCCUUUAGUUCUAUUUAAAGUACAUCUUGUCCUAUUAUCUCUGAGGCUGAAAUUUGGAGGGCUCUGCUAAUAAACUCUAACACUGCAAAGCAACAAGACACAUUCUCCUCCUCCCUGUCUUUCCAACCAGUUCUUUUACAGCUGUUCCUCACUUGUAUUCCAUAGUGCAACAGCAUCACCCAGCCUGUGGAAGGAGCACGGUUUCCUAAGCAGGUUCAAAUCCGGGAAUGUACUGUGAGCAAUGGUGCUCAAUGUCAAAAGACCCCAAGUGUGAUCCAGCAGUGGGGCUGCUUUGAGGAACAAAGGUGUGGAGUGAUGGCCAAACCUGCCAGGGCACCAAUGGCCAACAACUGCAGCUGAUGUUCUUACUUUGAUGGCAGUCACCUUUUUAACCCUGCUGUGGCCUUGUGCCUCAUGUCAUUGGCUUUUAUAAAAUGCUCUUCUAAGGAACAGUUAAGUACUAGGACAAAUACAUAUGAUGUCCUUAAAAGCACAAAGUUCUGUGUCACCAGAUGAUGUGCAAAUCAAAGGCUUUUCUGCACUGAUGAAAUUCCAGGAAAUGCAGGGUGGGGGAGAAGAGCUACAGAGAGAUAGCCAGAAACAAGAUGCUCAGAUCCGCCAUCCAAAAAAGUUGCUUCUUCAGCCAAAUUGCUAAGCCUUUUAUGAGAAAGAUGUCUUGGUUUGGCAGGGAAGAAGAGACAGCCCCACCAGACAAUAAUAAUAAUAAAAAAAGCCCUAGUUGAAUGCUAAAUAGCAUUAUUCCAGGGGAAACACAACUUGCUCUCUGCUGUGGCAAAACUUUCAGCUGAAACCCUGAAACCAGCAACCCUGGAACAGGAGCCAGAGAGCCUGGGCUGAUGCUAGCAAACCCCGAAGUUUCUAUUGGCUCAGUAAAUGCAUUUCUGCAGCUUUGUCUCCAGAAGCAUCUCAUUAAAAUGAGAUGCGAAUCACCAAGAUAAAUGCCUGAGUAAAUGGAUAAACCUCUCAUAUACAUCAUAUUUACAUGAGUAUUGGCCUUCUCCCUUCAUUGGAUGAGUUACGGCUUACCCUGUAGCUAUAAGUGAGGCUCUGGUGGUGCAGAGCUUAUUAUUACACACACUUAAGGCAUCAUUAACAAGCUUACCUGCAAACAUAUUUGUCCACAAUAACUGAAUGUGCCACCUCUGCCUCAGCGCAGUCCCUGAAGCCUCUGAAUGGAAGCCAGAAAGAGCUGUGAGAAGUCACAGCUGCAAUUAACACGGAGGCUUCUCUGGCUGCGAAAGGUGCUCUACCACUCCACUCUGAGCAUUGCUCCUCUUGCCAGCGCUAUGGGUGGUUGUGGGCACCGCAUCAAAGGCUGUGACACUGCUGGAGGAGAGCUCCCUCCUGGGGUGUUGGCACUGAUCCUCCCCUCUGCAGCAGUGGGUUGGGGCUGGUGAGCUCUGAGGAGCAGUGCCACGCUGCCCUGCGAGUGUUGAGAGCCUCAUUCCCAAGGCUUCUGCAUCGCUUCCUUGCUCCUGUCUUGCCCAACCAAGAAAACUUCAGCAAUUCCUGAGAAGCCCUGAAUCCCCAUGAAGUGAGUAGGCAAUAAAGAAG
ensembl:lncRNA